AUUGAACGCUGGCGGAAUGCUUUACACAUGCAAGUCGAACGGCAGCACGGGGCAACCUGGUGGCGAGUGGCGAACGGGUGAGUAGUACAUCGGAACGUGCCCAAUCGUGGGGGAUAACGUAGCGAAAGUUACGCUAAUACCGCAUACGAUCUACGGAUGAAAGCGGGGGAUCGCAAGACCUCGCGCGAAUGGAGCGGCCGAUGUCAGAUUAGGUAGUUGGUGGGGUAAAGGCUCACCAAGCCGACGAUCUGUAGCUGGUCUGAGAGGACGACCAGCCACACUGGGACUGAGACACGGCCCAGACUCCUACGGGAGGCAGCAGUGGGGAAUUUUGGACAAUGGGCGCAAGCCUGAUCCAGCCAUUCCGCGUGCAGGAUGAAGGCCUUCGGGUUGUAACUGCUUUGU
rnacentral:rRNA from 1 species